rnacentral:rRNA from 1 species
UACGUAGGGGGCAAGCGUUGUCCGGAAUCAUUGGGCGUAAAGCGCGUGUAGGCGGUCCGGUAGGUCCGCUGUGAAAACUCGAGGCUCAACCUCGAGACGCCGGUGGAAACCAUCAGACUAGAGUCCGGAAGAGGAGAGUGGAAUUCCUGGUGUAGCGGUGAAAUGCGCAGAUAUCAGGAAGAACACCCGUGGCUAAGGCGGCUCUCUAGUACGGUACUGACGCUGAGACGCGAAAGCGUGGGGAGCGAACAGG